AUACGGAGGGUGCAAGCGUUACUCGGAAUCACUGGGCGUAAAGCGCGCGCAGGCGGCUUGAUAAGUUGGAUGUGAAAGCCUACGGCUCAACCGUAGAACUGCAUCCAAAACUGUCAAGCUAGAGUCUGGGAGGGGAAGAUGGAAUUAGUUGUGUAGGGGUAAAAUCCGUAGAGAUAACUAGGAAUACCAAAAGCGAAGGCGAUCUUCUGGAACAGUACUGACGCUGAGGCGCGAAAGCGUGGGGAGUAAACAGGAUUAGAAACCCGGGUAGUCC
rnacentral:rRNA from 1 species